rnacentral:rRNA from 1 species
UACGGGGGGGCAAGCGUUGUUCGGAAUUACUGGGCGUAAAGGGCUCGUAGGUGGCCAACUAAGUCGGACGUGAAAUCCCCAGGCUCAACUUGGGAACUGCGUCUGAUACUGGAUGGCUUGAAUUCGGGAGAGGGAUGCAGAAUUCCAGGUGUAGCGGUGAAAUGCGUAGAUAUCUGGAGGAAUACCGGUGGCGAAGGCGGCAUCCUGGACCGAGAUUGACACUGAUGAGCGAAAGCUAGGGGAGCAAACGGG